GACGAACGCUGGCGGCGUGCUUAACACAUGCAAGUCGAACGGAAAGGCCCUGCUUUUGUGGGGUGCUCGAGUGGCGAACGGGUGAGUAACACGUGAGUAACCUGCCCUUGACUUUGGGAUAACUUCAGGAAACUGGGGCUAAUACCGGAUAGGAGCUCCUGCUGCAUGGUGGGGGUUGGAAAGUUUCGGCGGUUGGGGAUGGACUCGCGGCUUAUCAGCUUGUUGGUGGGGUAGUGGCUUACCAAGGCUUUGACGGGUAGCCGGCCUGAGAGGGUGACCGGCCACAUUGGGCCUGAGAUACGGACCAGACGCCUACGGGAGGCAGCAGUGGGGAAUAUUGCACAAUGGGCGGGAGCCUGGUGCAGCAACGCCGCGUGCGGGAUGACGGCCUUCGGGUUGUAAACCGCUUUCGCCUGUGACGAAGCGUGAGUGACGGUAAUGGGUAAAGAAGCACCGGCUAACUACGUG
rnacentral:rRNA from 1 species